AUUGAACGCUGGCGGCAGGCCUAACACAUGCAAGUCGAACGAGUGGCGGACGGGUGAGUAAUGUCUGGGAAACUGCCCGAUGGAGGGGGAUAACUACUGGAAACGGUAGCUAAUACCGCAUACAAUCGGAUGUGCCCAGAUGGGAUUAGCUUGGCGGGGGGGUAACGGCUCACCUAGGCGACGAUCCCUAGCUGGUCUGAGAGGAGGACAAGCCACACUGUAACGGAGACACGACCCAGACUCCUAUGGGACGGAGAAGUGGGGAAGAUUGCACAAUGGGAGCAAGCCUGAUGCAGCCAUGCCGCGUGUAUGAAGAAGGCCUUCGGGUUGUAGAGGACUUUCAGCGAGGAGGCGUUACUCGCAGAAGAAGCACCGGCUAACUCCGUGCCAGCAGCCGCGGUAAUUC
rnacentral:rRNA from 1 species